UCUCAGUCAGUGCUGGAGAUGGAGAGGAUUGAAUCAGGGAACAGACGUGGGGAGACGGGGAUAAGGAUGAACAGCCCACCCUUGCUGCUCACCAAUCAGCUGUUUCCACUGACACACAUCACUUCCUGAAUGGUGACAUCACCUCCAGCUCUUCCAAUGGUCUCGACAAGAUACUGCCUGACAUGCUGACUAUUUCAAGGAUUCUCUGCUAUCAACUCAGGAAAAAAUUCUGCAGAAUUUUUAUUACACUCCCUCGAGAGAAAGUGCAUCAUUCAUUUACUAAGGACAAGUUUGUACCCAGACUUCCUGGUGUGGUGUCAUCAAACCAGGUAUAAUUGUGGUGACUAUCUCUAGGUUGCUGUGGUGAUCCCCUACUGACUACUCAGUACACACUGUACCAGGACAACGAGUCCUGACAGAGGAUCACCAGCCAGAGGUACGGAACCAUUCAGCCCUGUGAUCCUGGGAUAGGAAUUGUGUGUUCCAAUAGGACAUCAGGCACAGCAAAUAUCCUGGAC